rnacentral:sRNA from 1 species
GGCGCACAAGAGCAUCGAGGCAGUGGUGGCUCGGCUAGAGAAGCAGAACGGCCUGAGCCUGGGCCAUAGCACGUGUCCGGAAGAGGUCUUCGUGGAGGCCUCACCAGGCACAGAGGACAUGGACAGUCUAGAAGAUGCUGUGGUGCCCCGGGCUCUGUAUGAGGAGCUGCUGCGCAACUACCAGCAGCAACAGGAAGAGAUGCGCCACCUCCAGCAGGAGCUGGAGCGUACUCGGAGGCAGCUGGUACAACAGGCCAAGAAGCUCAAGGAGUACGGGGCACUUGUGUCUGAAAUGAAGGAGCUCCGUGACCUUAACCGGAGGCUCCAGGACGUGCUGCUCCUGCGGCUUGGCAGCGAGUGUUUGUAUGACAGAAUAGCACAAGAAACUGUGGAUGAAACUGAAAUUGCACAGAGACUCUCCAAAGUCAACAAGUACAUCUGUGAAAAAAUCAUGGAUAUCAAUAAAUCCUGUAAAAAUGAAGAACGAAGGGAAGCAAAAUACAAUUUGCAAUAAACUUUGGAUUUUU